GAAAGCUUGCUUUCUUGCUGACGAGCGGCGGACGGGUGAGUAAUGUAUGGGGAUCUGCCCGAUAGAGGGGGAUAACUACUGGAAACGGUGGCUAAUACCGCAUAAUGUCUACGGACCAAAGCAGGGGCUCUUCGGACCUUGCACUAUCGGAUGAACCCAUAUGGGAUUAGCUAGUAGGUGGGGUAAAGGCUCACCUAGGCGACGAUCUCUAGCUGGUCUGAGAGGAUGAUCAGCCACACUGGGACUGAGACACGGCCCAGACUCCUACGGGAGGCAGCAGUGGGGAAUAUUGCACAAUGGGCGCAAGCCUGAUGCAGCCAUGCCGCGUGUAUGAAGAAGGCCUUAGGGUUGUAAAGUACUUUCA
rnacentral:rRNA from 1 species